rnacentral:rRNA from 1 species
UUAAAGUUGUUGCAGUUAAAAAGCUCGUAGUUGAACUUCAGGCCCGACGGGGUGGUCUGCCUCACGGUAUGUACUAUCCGGUUGGGCCUUACCUCCUGGUGAGCCCAUAUGUCGUUUACUCGGUGUGCGGGGGAACCAGGAAUUUUACUUUGAAAAAAUUAGAGUGUUCAAAGCAGGCAUAUGCCCGAAUACAUUAGCAUGGAAUAAUA